CCUACGGGAGGCAGCAGUGGGGAAUAUUGGACAAUGGGGGGAACCCUGAUCCAGCCAUGCCGCGUGUGUGAAGAAGGCCCUCGGGUUGUAAAGCACUUUCAGUGAGGAAGAACGCCUGGUGGUUAAUACCCAUCAGGAAAGACAUCACUCACAGAAGAAGCACCGGCUAACUCCGUGCCAGCAGCCGCGGUAAUACGGAGGGUGCGAGCGUUAAUCGGAAUUACUGGGCGUAAAGCGCGCGUAGAUGGCUUGAUAAGCCGGUUGUGAAAGCCCCGGGCUCAACCUGGGAACGGCAUCCGGAACUGUCAAGCUAGAGUGCAGGAGAGGAAGGUAGAAUUCCCGGUGUAGCGGUGAAAUGCGUAGAGAUCGGGAGGAAUACCAGUGGCGAAGGCGGCCUUCUGGACUGACACUGACACUGAGGUGCGAAAGCGUGGGUAGCAAACAGGAUUAGAUACCCCUGUAGUC
rnacentral:rRNA from 1 species